UACGUAGGGUGCAAGCGUUGUCCGGAAUCAUUGGGCGUAAAGAGCGCGUAGGCGGCCCGAUAAGUCCGCUGUGAAAGUCAAGGGCUUAACCCUUGAAUGCCGGUGGAAACUGUCGGGCUAGAGUCCGGAAGAGGCGAGUGGAAUUCCUGGUGUAGCGGUGAAAUGCGCAGAUAUCAGGAGGAACACCGAUGGCGAAGGCGGCUCACUGGCCCGGUACUGACGCUGAGGUGCGAAAGCGUGGGGAGCAAACAGG
rnacentral:rRNA from 1 species